GUCGAGCGGAGAUGAGGUGCUUGCACCUUAUCUUAGCGGCGGACGGGUGAGUAAUGCUUAGGAAUCUGCCUAUUAGUGGGGAACAACAUUCCGAAAGGGAUGCUAAUACCGCAUACGUCCUACGGGAGAAAGCAGGGGAUCUUCGGACCUUGCGCUAAUAGAUGAGCCUAAGUCGGAUUAGCUAGUUGGUGGGGUAAAGGCCUACCAAGGCGACGAUCUGUAGCGGGUCUGAGAGGAUGAUCCGCCACACUGGGACUGAGACACGGCCCAGACUCCUACGGGAGGCAGCAGUGGGGAAUAUUGGACAAUGGGGGGAACCCUGAUCCAGCCAUGCCGCGUGUGUGAAGAAGGCCUUAUGGUUGUAAAGCACUUUAAGCGAGGAGGAGGCUACUGAGACUAGUACUCUUGGAUAGUGGACGUUACUCGCAGAAUAAGCACCGGCUAACUCUGCGCCAGCAGCCGCGGUAAUACAGAGGGUGCGAGCGUUAAUCGGAUUUACUGGGCGUAAAGCGUGCGUAGGCGGCUUUUUAAGUCGGAUGUGAAAUCCCCGAGCUUAACUUGGGAAUUGCAUUCGAUACUGGGAAGCUAGAGUAUGGGAGAGGAUGGUAGAAUUCCAGGUGUAGCGGUGAAAUGCGUAGAGAUCUGGAGGAAUACCGAUGGCGAAGGCAGCCAUCUGGCCUAAUACUGACGCUGAGGUACGAAAGCAUGGGGAGCAAACAGGAUUAGAUACCCUGGUAGUCCAUGCCGUAAACGAUGUCUACUAGCCGUUGGGGCCUUUGAGGCUUUAGUGGCGCAGCUAACGCGAUAAGUAGACCGCCUGGGGAGUACGGUCGCAAGACUAAAACUCAAAUGAAUUGACGGGGGCCCGCACAAGCGGUGGAGCAUGUGGUUUAAUUCGAUGCAACGCGAAGAACCUUACCUGGGCCUUGACAUACUAGAAACUUUCCAGAGAUGGAUUGGUGCCUUC
rnacentral:rRNA from 1 species